rnacentral:rRNA from 1 species
GAUGAACGCUGGCGGCGUGCCUAAUACAUGCAAGUCGAGCGAACGGACGAGAAGCUUGCUUUUCUGAUGUUAGCGGCGGACGGGUGAGUAACACGUGUAUAACCUACCUAUAAGACUGGGAUAACUUCGGGAAACCGGAGCUAAUACCGGAUAAUAUUUUGAACCGCAUGGUUCAAAAGUUAAAGACGGUCUUGCUUUCACUUAUAGAUGGAUCCGCGCUGCAUUAGCUAGUUGGUAAGGUAACGGCUUACCAAGGCAACGAUGCAUAGCCGACCUGAGAGGGUGAUCGGCCAAACUGGAACUGAGACACGGUCCAGACGCCUAAGGGAGGCAGCAGUAGGGAAUAUGCCGCAAUGGGCGAAAGCAUGACGGAGCAACGCCGAGUGAGUGAUGAAGGUCUUCGGAUCGUAAAACUCUGUUAUUAGGGAAGAACAUAUGUGUAAGUAAAUGUGCACAUCUUGACGGUAACUAAUCAGAAAGCAACGGCUAACUACGUG